rnacentral:rRNA from 1 species
CAAUAGCGUAUAUUAAAGUUGUUGCAGUUAAAGAGCUCGUAGUCUGACCUAUUUGGCCUUUUCAGAGAUGAUUUGCCUGUACGUUGCGGCCUUUGAUCCUGCCUCUUGUUGUGCUUUUUUGUGCAGCAGGAUGUGCAGUCAUUGUGUUGUUUGUGCAGGGGGCCAAAUUGUACUUCGGAGGACCUUGUGUGCUUUUCACUAAGUGCGCAAUUUGGGAUUCCGAUAGUUUACUUUGAGAAAAAUAGAGUGUUCAAAGCAGGCAUUAUUUGCCCUUGAAUACGUUAGCAUGGGAUAAUGAAAUAGGACGUUGGUUCUCUAUUUCUGAUGGUUUGAAGGACCGAUGUAAUGAUUAAUAGGGACAGUUGGGGACAUUCAUAUUCCAUGGCUAGAGGUGAAAUUCUUGGAUUCAUGGAAGAUGAACUACUGCGAAAGCAUUUGUCAAAGAUGUUUNCAUUGA